rnacentral:rRNA from 1 species
AUUGAACGCUGGCGGCAUGCCUUACACAUGCAAGUCGAACGGCAGCACGGACUUCGGUCUGGUGGCGAGUGGCGAACGGGUGAGUAAUGUAUCGGAACGUACCUUUCAGUUGGGGAUAACGUAGCGAAAGUUACGCUAAUACCGCAUAUUCUGUUAGCAGGAAAGCAGGGGAUCGAAAGACCUUGCGCUGAUUGAGCUGCCGAUAUCAGAUUAGCUAGUUGGUGGGGUAAAGGCCUACCAAGGCGACGAUCUGUAGCGGGUCUGAGAGGAUGAUCCGCCACACUGGAACUGAGACACGGUACAGACUCCUAAGGGAGGCAGCAGUGGGGAAUAUUGGACAAUGGGGGAAAACCUGAUCCAGCAAUGCCGCGUGAGUGAAGAAGGCCUUCGGGUUGUAAAGCUCUUUCGGCCGGGAAGAAAUCGCAUAGGCUAAUACCCUGUGUGGAUGACGGUACCGGAAGAAGAAGCACCGGCUAACUACGUG